rnacentral:rRNA from 1 species
UACGUAGGUGGCAAGCGUUGUCCGGAAUUAUUGGGCGUAAAGAGCUCGUAGGCGGUUUGUCGCGUCUGCUGUGAAAACUCGGGGCUUAACCCUGGGCCUGCAGUGGGUACGGGCAAACUAGAGUGCGGUAGGGGAGAUCGGAAUUCCUGGUGUAGCGGUGAAAUGCGCAGAUAUCAGGAGGAACACCGGUGGCGAAGGCGGAUCUCUGGGCCGUAACUGACGCUGAGGAGCGAAAGCAUGGGUAGCGAACAGG